GAUGAAGAACGCAGCGAAAUGCGAUACUUGGUGUGAAUUGCAGAAUCCCGUGAACCGUCGAGUCUUUGAACGCAAGUUGCGCCCGAAGCCAUUAGGCCGAGGGCACGCCUGCCUGGGCGUCACACGUCGUUGCCCCCCCAUCUACUCCUUCGGGAUUGCGGGGGGCGGAUGAUGGCCUCCCGUGCGCCUCGUCGCGCGGUUGGCAUAAAUGCCAAGUCCUCGGCGACGCACGCCACGACAAUCGGUGGUUGCGAAACCUCGGUUGCCCGUCGUGUGCGGUCGUCGCGCAUCGAGGGCUCGAAAAAAUUGCCGGGCUCCGGCUCGGCUUUCAACGCGACCCCAGGUCAGGCGGGGUUACCCGCUGAAUUUAAGCAUAUCAAUAAGCGGAGGA
rnacentral:misc_RNA from 1 species